GAUGAACGCCGGCGGCGUGCCUAAUACAUGCAAGUCGAGCGAACAGACGAGGAGCUUGCUCCUCUGACGUUAGCGGCGGACGGGUGAGUAACACGUGGAUAACCUACCUAUAAGACUGGGAUAACUUCGGGAAACCGGAGCUAAUACCGGAUAAUAUAUUGAACCGCAUGGUUCAAUAGUGAAAGACGGUUUUGCUGUCACUUAUAGAUGGAUCCGCGCCGCAUUAGCUAGUUGGUAAGGUAACGGCUUACCAAGGCGACGAUGCGUAGCCGACCUGAGAGGGUGAUCGGCCACACUGGAACUGAGACACGGUCCAGACUCCUACGGGAGGCAGCAGUAGGGAAUCUUCCGCAAUGGGCGAAAGCCUGACGGAGCAACGCCGCGUGAGUGAUGAAGGUCUUCGGAUCGUAAAACUCUGUUAUUAGGGAAGAACAAAUGUGUAAGCAACUAUGCACGUCUUGACGGUACCUAAUCAGAAAGCCACGGCUAACUACGUG
rnacentral:rRNA from 1 species